AUUGAACGCUGGCGGCAGGCCUAACACAUGCAAGUCGAACGAGCGGCGGACGGGUGAGUAAUGUCUGGGACCCUGCCUGAUGGAGGGGGAUAACUACUGGAAACGGUAGCUAAUACCGCAUACCAUCAGAUGUGCCCAUAUGGGAUUAGCUAGUUGGUGGGGUAAAGGCUCACCUAGGCGACGAUCCCUAGCUGGUCUGAGAGGAUGACCAGCAACACUGGAACUGAGACACGGCCCAGACGCCUACGGGAGGCAGCAGUGGGGAAUAUUGCACAAUGGGCGAAAGCCUGAUGCAGCCAUGCCGCGUGUAUGAAGAAGGCCUUCGGGUUGUAAAGUACUUUCAGCGGGGAGGCGUUACCCGCAGAAGAAGCACCGGCUAACUCCGUGCCAGCAGCCGCGGUAAUAC
rnacentral:rRNA from 1 species